rnacentral:rRNA from 1 species
UACGGAGGAUGCGAGCGUUAUCCGGAUUUAUUGGGUGUAAAGGGUGCGUAGACGGGAAAUUAAGUUAGUUGUGAAAUCCCUCGGCUUAACUGAGGAACUGCAACUAAAACUGAUUUUCUUGAGUACUGGAGAGGAAAGCGGAAUUCCUAGUGUAGCGGUGAAAUGCGUAGAUAUUAGGAGGAACACCAGUGGCGAAGGCGGCUUACUGGACUGUAAAUGACGCUGAGGCUCGAAAGCGUGGGGAGCAAACAGG